CAUCCCUCGCUCGCUCCCUCCCUCCCUUGUUUUUAAUUGUGACGUCGUGUCGCUUUUCCUGUCAUUACCAGGGAAGAAGUCCAAACCCUUCGGCUACUCGUCGCUCACAACAAAACACGAUUGCCGUUCCUCCGUUUCUGAUCGAAUUCAUUUUGAGUGUCGGGCUGGAAGCAUGCGGCAGCUGCAAUAGGAGGAAGAGGCUGACACCAGUUCUUGAUGUAGCAGUUGGGCAAGCAAAAGGGCAAAAAUGAGGUGAAAGAUGGCAACAACUACAAACCAACAAAGUUUAGGGUUUUGCACGACGACGAUGAAGAAAAAGAGGACUUCUCUGCUACCGGAAUCAUCAAACUUGUCCCCGCGACGGGAUCACAUUAUGUCGCUUCAGGGCCGAAGGAACGAAGAGCUUCAAGGAUCAAUUCGGUCCAAGGAGAGGCUGGGUCUUCUUUUUGGUGCUCUUUCGGCUUUUGGCACACUCGAUCUACCUACAUGGAGCAUAAACUGUUCUGCUGAUGUCCCUUACGCUUCUGGAAUUAAACCCUUGGAAGAGGACGGAGACUUAACUUGUACAAUUCUCCUGGGGAUCGGAAAAUACUUCCAGUUAUAGGAAAGUAGCAAUUGAAUGGAGCCAAAUCUGGAAUACAAUGCCGCAGGAAUUAACCGGAAGUGAUAUCGGGAAGGCAUGCAUCUGAGGUCACCACUCAUCGAGAAUUGGGAAUGUCCAUGGAGCAUACAUACAAGCAUCGAAUGGUCCUGAGUAAUAUACAGUCAUUUCCAAGUUUGGAGCAGGACAUCCCUGAGUUGGUCAGUCUUGGCACAAAUUCUAUCUCAGCAAAUGCUGGUGUUAAUGGAGAAUUUCAUGGACCAGCUGAAGUAUGGUUAAUUCUAGAAUUUUGGUUCAACAAGUACAUCAACAUAAGAACAAAAAUCUAUGGUGAUGGCUGAAUGUUUUAUCUUUCCCUUCUUUUUUCUGCCUGAUUUUGAGCACUAAAUCCAGAAUUUUAAGAAAAUUUUUGACA